rnacentral:rRNA from 1 species
AACGAACGCUGGCGGCAUGCCUAACACAUGCAAGUCGAACGGGAUCCUAGCUUGCUAGGUGAGAGUGGCGGACGGGUGAGUAACACGUGGGAAUCUGCCUUUUGGUUCGGGAUAACCGCGGGAAACUGCGGCUAAAUACCGAAUGCCCUCGAGAGAGGAAAGAUUUAAUCGCCAGAAGAGGAGCCCGCGUCCGAUUAGGUAGUUGGUGGGGUAAAGGCCUACCAAGCCGACGAUCGGUAGCUAGGUCUGAGAGGAUGAUCAGCCACACUGGGACUGAGAUACGGCCCAGACUCCUACGGGAGGCAGCAGUGGGGAAUAUUGGACAAUGGGGGCAACCCUGAUCCAGCAAUGACCGCGUGAGUGAUGAAGGCCUUA